AGAAACAUGCUGUCCAAUUGAUUUAUAGGUCUUCAAAUUUUUGGCGUCUAUAUACAAGAUAAGUACUAAAAUAAGCUUAAAAAUACAUAUCUUUGAAAAGAAAAUAGUAAUAAAAGCACGUGAGUAGUUGUUUGGUAAAUUGGUAAAUCGUAGGGUAGACGACGAGUGCAGGUGCAACAAUAAGUUUAGUUUUGGUAAUUUGUUUAGUUUUGAAUGUGUUUGUGUAUCAACUAAUCACUAUAGUAGUAAUGUUUUGGAAGUGCAGAAGUAGAAAGCACUCCAUUCCACUUUGCUGCUGCUAUUCAUUUUGUUUGGCUUCAUUGUGAUAUAUAUGCGAAACCAUGCUAAUUUUUUUGGUGAAGUUGAUAGGAGAAUCUUUCUGUUAGUGAUAGGCUUAGUAGUUAAACAUGGUUAAACGCAGUGUUUGGUAUGAAGCUGUCUCUUGCUAUUGUGUUUAAGUUAGAUUGUGAUUUGUUGUUGGAUGCAUGUUUGCUGCUGCUUCUUAUUGUGACUGUGAUCUCACUAGCUGUGUAGUUCCAAACACAAAAUGUUGGCAGUUGAGUUAUUGAUUUAGGCAGAUGUGCAUUAUUUUCAUCUAUCUCUAUUGUUUAUUUACUUUGGUUUUGGAUUUGCCUAUCGUUUCCAUGUGAAUAACCAGAAAAUAGAUUGAUGAAAUGAGGAUAGAGUGGGCAGAGUUUCUAAGUUCGAUUGAUGAUUGAUGAUGAUGGUGUAACUUUGACACUCAAGUAACCUCAUUUUUUACUCACAUGUAUUAUGAUCAACAAUAUUUUUUUGGAUUUGAUGUACGAUGUUUGUAUGAUGAAUACUUUUUCAAUGUAGGAUGAUAAUUAACUUUGAAACUAAUGAAUGACAUUUUUAUUA